rnacentral:misc_RNA from 1 species
ACAGCAGAUGCUGGAGAGGAA